AGACCAUCAAACUGCUCAAGCAGCGUUUUAACCCUGGAGUGAGUGAGAAGGAAGCAGCAGCUUUUAUCAUCAAAGUCAUUCAGAACUGCUUCCUGAGCAGCAGGAGCAAAACGUAUGACAUAAUCCAGUACUAUCAGAACCAGAUCCCCUACUGAAGGCCAGAGAAGUGUGUGUGUGUGUGUGUUUCUCUUAAUGCUAAUUGCACUGCUGUCUCGGUUUGGUGUGUUUGUGCACUUUAUACAUCUGAUAUGUGUUUGCAUGGAUUUCUACGCACUGAUAUCAGCACUUAUGAGACGUUUUCUGCACACGUCACACUGUCUGCUGCAUGAUGGGUUCAACUGUAAACAUUACAAAAUCACUUUUGUGCCAUGUUGAUUUGUAUUUGAUGUGAUUUUGUUGUCAGUCUUAAUUUCCAGAUAAAUCAUGUAGUUUGUAAACUACAGCAGACGUGUUUAUGGACAUGAACGGCCUGAACUGCAGACAGAUGUCAUAUUUCAGAGGUGACAAAUUUACACAUUAAUUCACAAACUAACAAAAAUCAGUAUUUGAUUGUUUAUUAUGAUGUAAUGGAGGAGAGAUGUUUGAAAAGUGUUUGGUAUUUCUUAGCAGUGUUUACAGCUCUGAAUAUGUGUUAAUUUUUCUGAAUCUCUGCUUGUUUUGCAGUAUGUGACUGUUUAUUGAUCAAUUGAUCGUACAGUGUGAGUAAUAUUUGUUCGCUCUCUUGUAAGCAUCAAUUUUCUGCCUCUCUUUCUAUUCUAUUCUAUUAUUUAUUCUGUGUGUGAUAUUUAAUAAAUGCCCCACAGUAGU